CAGGUUUAUGUUUAAUGAGCACUAGUGUUUAUGUCACAUUUUGUUUAGCACCCAUUUUAUCUUUUGUAGUCAUGUUGUAUUCCACCUAGGAGAAGUUGUGAUCAUCUUCUUGUCCUGUGUAUCACAGUUUGAUCAGUAUCUUUUGUGUUUGUGUGUUUUAAAAUGAGCUGCAGGGAUGAUAUGUAGGUGAUGCAGAUUACGGAGUCGUGACAAAAAGAGCUGCUCUUGGAUCUGUGAAGUGUGAACGGUGGCGAACAUGGAAGAGAUUCGAAAAGACUUGAAAGCAGAAAGUUGGUGCUUCAGGGAGCGAGACUGAGCAGCUUAUUUUCAUUUCUUCACUUCACGUAGCCCCUAGACAGCUGUGAGACCUUUUAAAAAAGUCGUAGGACAGAAAUGAUCUCUUCACUGUAGAGUAAAUCCUGAGAGACCAACAUGCUCUUACUUUGCUGCAGAAAGUUUUGACACUGUAAGAGGUUUUAUUAAGAAACACUGUCUAGAGAAAAUUCGAUUCCAUGAAAGAAAACCAUUUAAACACGGUUUAAACGCUAAGCUGACCAGACACUCAUCUGCUAUGCUUACAGCUCUCUUUAUUAAUUUCAAUCCAUCAAAAACGUACUCCAUGUUAUAAGCAAUGUCUGUGAGUAAGAUGCGUCUCCUCUGAUCACCUCCGUGGGGAAAAUACUUUUAUAGCUUUUAAAGAAAUGAUAAUAAAUAAAUAGUGCUUUUAACACUC